UAGAAGCAGAUAAACCCGGCCUACUCUAAGGAAACCUCCCCAAUUAUAUGACAUAAGGAGUUGGAGGAAAAGAAAAAUUAUUGACAUCAUCCGCAAAGCAUUGUAACUAAAAGGACAGAUGGAAAGCUUUAAACUGAAGUCCCCGUGUGGACAUCUUUCUAUAGUGACUGGGGAAAGUGGCCAUGGAAGACCAGCCGAGCACCACCUGUGACCUUGCCUUACAGAGGCAAUCUGUGGUUCAUUUGUAGGUAAUUGGGCAAUGAAAAUCUGAUUUCCUUGUGACAUUCUCAUUACUGCUCUUAAUUCCAACAGAUACCUGUAACACUGAUUCAAUUAUUUCAUCUCAGCCUGUUACACAUAUAUAAUUGAUGUCUCCAGCCAAAUAACAGUAACCUGUAUUUUCAGAGGCUAUAGAAAUGUUAUGUUUGCAGAAAGAAAACACAUUCCUUCCAGUUUUGUCAGCAUGACUAAACAUUGAUGAUAUGUACCUGCAAAAAUUGUUGUGCAAAAAUUGGGAAU